CUGGAACAGUCAGCAGUUCACAGCCUUCUUUCACCUACCCAGUAAAAACGGUGGGCUGGUAAUAACUACCAUUUAUCAAGUACCUACUCUAUGCCAGCCACAAUUGUAUGUGAUCUCUGAUCCUCACAACAAGCCAGCAAGAAAAACCUGCUCCUGAUUACAAGGAUAUGUCGAUUGCAGGGAGGCAGAGGAAGAAAUACAACAGGAUGUCUAUCGAACACAACUUUGGAGUAAGACCUUGGGACCCAACUCCUGUUUGCUUCAUAUACAAGCUUUGAGACGUGAUGAGUUUGCCUCGAUUCUCUAAGCCUCAGUUUCCUCAUCUGUUGUUGUGAGGGAAAUAAUGCAUGGAAAGCUUUUAACACAAUGGCUGGCACACAGUGAAAGUGCAAGACGUUAACCAUUAUCAUGAGAGUUUUCAAUUGGAAUGAAUAGGAGACUUAAAUUUGCAUGAUUGUACUUUUACACUAAGCCAUUAAUGAUGCAUUCAUUUAGUUUUCUACUCCCAAAGAACAUAGAUUUGAUUAAUUAUAACAAGAAUUUAAAAAUAUUUCCAUUAUUCAGAAAUAACCUACAGAGUCUAAGCCUGUCCUUUCCUUCCUCCCUUUUUCCCAAUCUUUUUUUUUUUUUUUUUUUUUUGAAAGAAAUAGCAAUUAUGUAGUCAGAUUCACUGGCUCUUUCUUCUUCUCCCUGGUAACAGGCUAAGUCUUAACCUUGAUUAGGCAGCAUCGCAUCUGAUCUAAGUUCUUCCCAGCUUUCAGCCCAGCCUGCUUCCCCAGGCUUCAGAGCGCAGCUCUGCACCACCCUCUCCACCCCUGCUUAGCAUCAGAACAUUGCCAAAGCUAAGCAUCUAUGCAAUGUUUCUUUUGAAUAGUUGUCUACCUACUUGGAUAUUUUUUUCCUUCUCCCAGAGGCAAAAAUUGGACCACUUAAUCUAUGCUGUAGGACAGUCUUGCCCCUCAGAAAAUACUUGAGCAUAUUAAGUUGUUAUGAAAUGGAUCUGAGAAGCAGAGUUCUGAACCAUGCCCGUGAAUUUCCCAGCCUCAUCACACUGGCAUUCUUUCAUAGCCCCGAAAUACUUUCCACUUGCCCUUCCUAUGAAUGCAAGUAAAGCAAAGCCUCUUGACAAAGCAAAUUAAGAGUAAUCAAUGGUUUGGGUUUUUUUUUUAAUUAUUAUUUCCUGUGACUCAAAUCAAACCUAUUUCUCAACUGUAACGUACGAAAAGAGAGAGAUCAAGUUGACAUUUAGGAAAAUUGAACAUUGAUAAGUAAAUUGCCUUCACUCAGUCUCUUAGGUCCUCUCUCCUUUCCCCCUACCCCACGACACCCCGUGGCCCUGCUCUCUCUCACACACACAGCUGAAGGUAUCUUUAAAGGGUACCUAUUUCCUGCAGAUCACGCUUAUGUUAAUCUCACUUCAAGUACAGAUGCACCGAGGACAUUACAGGGUCAGUCAUUCUUAUCCACAAAGCUUUAGAUUCCACUACAUUAUUCAAACUGGACAAUGGACUUCCCCAUUUUGUGCCCAGACUUGCUCACUAAUAGAGUGACCUCCUUGUUAUGGGUGAGGAUAUAUUUGAUGCUAAAACUGCUACAAAUUUUUAUCAGCAUUUAAUCUUGAGACUGUGAAUUACUACAUCCUGCAUGUGUUGGUACCUUACUUUGAUUAAAAAUGGGAUAAAUCAAUGAGAGAGUCUUUUUAUCCAAGGCCAUGUUCCUUUCACAUGAAGGUCAUAUACGGGCUAAUUGGACAAAAUAUAAAUCAUGUUUCUUUCCACAUUCAGUUUUAGAUCCUGACCUGUUUUGUGUCAAGAAAUCACAGGGAGCCCAACCUGUAUCAUCAAGAUUGUUUUGAUUUACAGAUGAUUUCCUUAAAUCAUAGCAUGAUGACAUUCAAUGCAAUUCCAAAAUUAAGGAAUGGAGAGUUCAGAAGGACAUUUAAAAAAAAAAUGCUUGUAGUGUUAUAGGAAAAAGUAAUCAGAACUUUGACUCCAUUUGCUUUCCUGUGUCAUAGAAAUGUUGAGGACAGGACAAAAAUAUAACUCCCACCAGUAAC
rnacentral:lncRNA from 1 species